AGAGGAAGAGAGGUAGAGAGGUAGAGGUAGAGGAAGAGAGGUAGAGAGGGAGAGGUGGAGGAAGAGAGGUAGAGGGAGAGAGGUAGAGGGAGAGAGGUAGAGGUAGAGAGGUAGAGGGAGAGAGGUAGAGGAAGAGAGGUAGAGGGAGAGAGGUAGAGGAAGAGAGGUAGAGGGAGAGAGGUAGAGGAAGAGAGGUAGAGGGAGAGAGGUAGAGGAAGAGAGGUAGAGGGAGAGAGGUAGAGGAAGAGAGGUAGAGGGAGAGAGGUAGAGGGAGAGAGGUAGAGGGAGAGAGGUAGAGGAAGAGAGGUAGAGGGAGAGAGGUAGAGGGAGAGAGGUAGAGGAAGAGAGGUAGAGGGAGAGAGGUAGAGGGAGAGAGGUAGAGGUAGAGAGGUAGAGGGAGAGAGGUAGAGAGGUGGAGGAAGAGAGGUAGAGGAAGAGAGGUAGAGGUAGAGAGGUAGAGAGGGAGAGGUAGAGGAAGAGAGGUAGAGGAAGAGAGGUAGAGGUAGAGAGGUAGAGGUAGAGAGGAAGAGAGGAAGAGAUAGAGAGGAAGAGAGGAAGAGAGGUAGAGGAAGAGAGGUAGAGGAAUCUUUAAAUCUUUAAAAGUGGAAACAAAUUAGACCCAAACAAUUACAGAGGCAUCUGUGUCAGCAGUAACCUGGGAAAGGUAUUCUGCAGCAUCUUAAACACCAGACUGCAAGACUUUCUCAGAGAACAUGACGUCCUGAGCAAAAGCCAGAUUGGAUUCACACCCAAACAGAGAACAGCAGACCAUAUCUACACCCUUCACACCCUCAUCAAUCAAAACGUCCACCAAAACAAGAAGAAAAUCUACUCUUGUUUUGUAGAUUUCAGAAAAGCAUUUGACUCAAUUUGGCAUGAUGGUCUGUUCCUAAAACUAUUAGAGAAAGGUGUAGGAGGGAAGGUCUAUGACAUCAUUAAAACCAUGUACACACAUAUGA